rnacentral:rRNA from 1 species
CGCCUCUUGAUUAUCAUAAGAGGUCCAGCCUGCCCAGUGAUCCAAUUUAACGGCCGCGGUACCCUAACCGUGCGAAGGUAGCACAAUCACUUGUUCCCUAAAUAGGGACUAGUAUGAACGGCACCACGAAGACUAUACUGUCUCCCCCUUGCAAUCAAUGAAACUGAUCUCCCCGUGAAGAAGCGGGGAUAAACCUAUAAGACGAGAAGACCCCAUGGAGCUUAAAACUCAGUACCACUUACUCUUUUCUACUUCAUAAUAACCCAGUAUGCAUGACUACUAGUUUUUGGUUGGGGUGACCGCGGAGUAAAACUUAACCUCCACAAUGAACAGAAUUAAAUUCUUAACUCUAGACCUACACCUCAAAAAAUUAAAACAUUAACAUAACUUGACCCAAUUAUUGAUCAACGAACCAAGUUACCCUGGGGAUAACAGCGCAAUCCAUUUUAAGAGCCCCUAUCGACAAAUGGGUUUACGACCUCGAUGUUGGAUCAGGGUAUCCUAGUGGUGCAGCCGCUACUAAAGGUUCGUUUGUUCAACGAUUAAAACCCUACG